CCCCUGUGGUGACUCCAAAACUUUUUUUCCUUUUUUCGCUCAAGUCAAAGGAACCCCAACCCAAGGUCUUCCUCCUCUCUCCUAGAAAGAUUUAAGAAACCGAAAAUCCAUCCCCUGAAUCUUAAGGCAUGAGCCCGAGGAAAGAUCUGCGCUCACGAGCAAAAGACGGCCUCUACUCACCUUAGGUUCGGGGGGGCGGAUCCGGACUUCUAAAAAACUACUAAGGAAAAAAAAAGACUUAAGCUCGGGGACUUUGGCUAGCGAGUAGCUCACCCGACCCCGCGCUGCCGAGGUCGGAUCGGCAUAAGGAAAAAGAAAACAAGACACGUAGGAAAAAACCUAAAAGGAACAGUCAUAUAAAUACUCAUAUUUGGCAUUAAAAUUGUAUAUACAAUACAAGGCCCAAUGGCCUUAAUACCUACAAAAAGAAAAAAGAAAUCUAAGGGACUUGCUGCCCUGCCUGCGCAGGUUCUUGAACCCCGAGGGGGGGAAGCUCCACCUCGUCAUCAAAGAAGGUAGCCAAGGCAUCUCUGGGGCCAGCCGCGGCGUCCUCGAGCUUCUGCACUUCCUCCUGGGCCUCCGUCUCAUCAUCGGGGAGGACGUAGCCCUCACAAAUCGCCGGCAAGUCAAUAUCGGCG
rnacentral:lncRNA from 1 species